rnacentral:rRNA from 1 species
GAUGAACGCUAGCGACAGGCCUAACACAUGCAAGUCGAGGGGCAGCACGGAGUAAGCUUGCUUACUUUGGUGGCGACCGGCGCACGGGUGCGUAACAGGUGUGCAAUCUGUCCAUAAUCGGGGAAUAGCCCAGCGAAAGUUGGAUUAAUGCUCCAUGUGAGCAGGGGAGGCAUCUCCUUUGUUUGAAACGUAAGGAUUAUGGGUGAGCACGCUUCUGAUUAGGUAGUUGGUGAGGUAACGGCUCACCAAGCCGACGAUCAGUAGGGGUUCUGAGAGGAAGGUCCCCCACACUGGUACUGAGACACGGACCAGACUCCUACGGGAGGCAGCAGUGAGGAAUAUUGGGUCAAAUGGGCGAGAGCCUGAACCAGCCAAGUCGCGUGAGGGAAGACGGUACUAAGUAUUGUAAAACCUCUUUUGUCAGGGAACAAAGAGACCACGUGUGGUAAGAUGAGUGUACCUGAAGAAAAAGCAUCGGCUAACUCCGUGCCAGCAG